GCAAGACUUUUUUUUCAAAAAUAAAGAUUUCAAUUUAAAAAGUCCAUAAAAGGCCUAAGCAUAUUACACAACAAAGCUUGAACCCAUAUCCAAAUACAAAGGAAAUUCUAUCUACAAGCUUAAAACUUGCCCAAAACCAGAAAAAGCCCAAAAGCCCAAGUCAUUCAAAAAAAUCCUAGGCCGAAAAACAGUUCUUCCAAGUUCCACCCAAUUGCAAGAUCCAGCAACAAUCAACACCAUCUGUCUUGAAUUUCAUUUAUCAAAUUCUUUCAGAUCCAUAGCCUUCAAAAAACCUGCAAGCCAUUCCUAAUAAUAAUAAUAACAAUAAGAGGUCAUAAAAUUGAGAUCUGAAUUCUGAAAGGGAAACAAAAAAUACAGACCUAAGACGUACACAUGGCGGUGGAAGACGAAGGAAAGGGUCAAAGAUUCCUACGAAUAACAGAGGUGGUGAGGAGAAGGAGGAAUAAUCGGAAACCUACGGCAUGGGUGGAGUAGGGAAGAUAACAAACAAUUAUAUCAUACCCAUUUAAUGAAACAAUACUUAUUUAUCUUCCCCACUCGCCCAUCCCAUACCCUUCCGAAAAUCCAAGCUCCUUCUUCAUUUCCUCUCAUUGAUCUUUG
rnacentral:misc_RNA from 1 species